rnacentral:rRNA from 1 species
UAGGGAAUAUUGGGGCAAUGGGGCGCAAGCCUGACCCAGCAACGCCGCGUGAGGGAAGAAGGUUUUCGGAUUGUAAACCUCUGUCCUAUGUGACGAAGGAAGUGACGGUAGCAUAGGAGGAAGCCCCGGCUAACUACGUGCCAGCAGCCGCGGUAAUACGUAGGGGGCGAGCGUUGUCCGGAAUUACUGGGCGUAAAGGGUGCGUAGGCGGUUUUGUAAGUUGGAUGUGAAAUACCCGGGCUUAACUUGGGGGCUGCAUCCAAUACUGCAGGACUUGAGUGCAGGAGAGGAAAGCGGAAUUCCUAGUGUAGCGGUGAAAUGCGUAGAUAUUAGGAGGAACACCG